rnacentral:rRNA from 1 species
AUUGAACGCUGGCGGCAUGCCUUACACAUGCAAGUCGAACGGCAGCGCGUCCUUCGGGAUGGCGGCGAGUGGCGAACGGGUGAGUAAUACAUCGGAACGUGCCCCGAGAGGUGGGGGAGUAACGCAGCGAAAGCUGUGCUAAUACCGCAUACGAUCUCAGGAUGAAAGCAGGGGACCGCAAGGCCUUGCGCUCACGGAGCGGCCGAUGGCAGAUUAGGUAGUUGGUGGGAUAAAAGACUUACCAAGCCGACGAUCUGUAGCUGGUCUGAGAGGACGACCAGCCACACUGGGACUGAGACACGGCCCAGACUCCUACGGGAGGCAGCAGUGGGGAAUUUUGGACAA